UCAAGUUGAAGAAAAUACAAAAAAACCUGCAAAUAUAACAAAAAGAAAUAAUUGAAGAGUUGGUGAUCGAAAAAUUUAAAAAGCAAAUCUUCAUGAAUAUUUUUUAAUGUUGUUGUUUCUCUAUCUCUCUAUUUAAAGAGUCCUUAAAUAAGGAAAGAAUUAAUGCACAAUAUUAGUUGGUUUAAAAGUCCUAAAUUACAUAUUUUAAAUAAGGUAAAAAUUAAUUUGCAGUUCAUUAGGUUUCAAAGUCUAAAUCGGAAAAAUAAUUAAAUUAUUAAUUUUAAAAUAUAAAAUAUUAUGAAAAGACGAUUUUGUCUGAAUAGAGACUUUUAAGGAAGGGGAAAAAGUUCGAAUCACUUUUCUAAGGGCCUUCACACUUUUAAUAUACUAGUUCUUCGACACAUGCGUUGCAUGUGUGUACCAAAUUAUGUGGUAUAUGAUUAGUAAAUUAAGAUUAUAUCAUGAAAUAAAAUAUUAAAUAAAUAGUUAUACAUGAAGAGAAUGCAAGUUCCUAUGAAUUACCAAUAUGGGUCACUGUAUAGUGUGACCUGUUAGUUGAGGUUAAGAUAAUUGGACAUCAUCUGAAGCAAUAAAGAUGCAUAAUCAAUGUUUCAUUAGGUAUAUUUGAUUUAUUUAUUUUAAUUUAUAAAUUAUAAACAUGUAAUAAAGAGUAUCUUAUCAAAUACUCACAUAUAAACACCAUUCUUGUCAUAAUCCUUCUUGUAAUUAUUAUGAUUAUUGUCAUUUGAGUAGGUCAUCUUCUAAUCAUUAAUUGAUAUCCUACUAUUUUCAUAAUAAUUGAUGGGGUUGAUUUAUAUUACUUGAGUUAUAUGAUCCCAUGAUCAUUUACUUGAUCAAUAAAAAUACAGACGACAAAAAGAAAAAUACAAAAUCAGUCCAUUGCUCCAUAAAUCUGCUUUCAAAUACCUCAAUGUUUACAAUUUUUGAACUGCAAUAUCAUUCUUAGAAACAUUAUUUGAAUUAAAUUUUCUUCUAAUAUAAUUCUUCUAUUCAGCCUAUUCUAUACCCAACCCAACUAACCCAACAAAUCCGUUUUCUAAUACCCUUUCAAUUGGAGGCUUGUUGAUGGGAAAACAACUUCAUCUAUGAAACAUAAACUAUAAUUUAAAACACAAGACACAAAUCGUUCAACAACAAUGAUUAACUUAUGUUAUUCUUAAAUUUCUUGAAAUUUCUUUAUGCUAGCGACACAUUACACACAGUCAACAAUGAAUAAAGAAAAAUAUCAGUUAGAGAUCAACACCUCUUAAAAGAGUAAUUUACAAGAUGUUACCAAGGAAAAAUCGAUCUUGACAUUGAUAAAAUGUUAUUUGACUUAUAGGAAGGACCUCCAUUGCCCCUCCCAUUUCUGCUAUCGUCCAACAACCUUGACAACUUUGGCACGGACUUGACUUCUCCUUGCUUCAUGAUAUGAAAUAAGACCAUAACCAUACAUCAUCUGAACAUCAAAAAACCAUCAAAUAUUUUACCUCAUGUGGUCUGGAAAGGGUGUUAGGAGAUGUGUUUAUCGGGGUAAUUGGGUCAGGUAGAAGCAUUAUACUUAAAAAAAAAAUUCAUUAGGAAAAAAAUUAUAUCCACAUAGGUGUCAUGUAGUCGUCACAUAAGAUAAUAAGGGUAUUCUACUUUAAUGCAUAUCACUAUAUCAGCUAGUUUGUCAAUUAAAUUAUAUUCACAAAAGACCUUGGAGUCUUUGUAUCUUAACAGUUGGGAUAAUAAUCAAUGAAGCGAAAGGUAGAAAAUCAUAGCAUUAAAGCAAAAUAAAAUCAGUAUCAUGGAUAGGUCUAUAGAAGUCCAAUACUUCAGGCUUCAGCCUAUAAUUAUUGGAGGCAAAGUAUAUCAAGAACCAAAUUCACUUGCUAAAUCAGUGCCAGCUAUUUCUUGAUCAUAAUUCCAUCUUUGUUUCAACAAUCAGAUUAAAGAAUGAUUUCAAAGUAAUUAAAAUGUCUCAUGUAGAGCUUAGACUUGCCAAUGUCACUUCUGGAGCUAUUAAUGCACUGCAAGUUGAACCAUAAACAAUGGCAUCAUUAGAAUCUUCUUGUGAAAACAAGACAGGUCAUACUAAUUAACUUGAAGGAUGAACAUCCUCCAUUGCAAACUAUAGUAGUUAACAGGUGUGAAAUUAACACUUACAUCUUGGAAUGGUUGUGUGGACACUGCAAGCAUCAGAACCUACACUGCUUGUAGUGAAUACAGGAGCUGUAGCUGCCUUUACAACAACAGUUUCAUGUUGAAUGGUGUGUGGACCCAUGACAGUAUCUACAGCUCCGUGUGCACAAUACAUCCAGUACAAAAUUAAGUCCAUCCCUGUAGAACAUAAUAAUCACUUCUUUAAGUAUCUUUGCACAACAAAAUAUGAUUAAAGAAUUGGUUUAAGUUUUCUACACACUGAAGACAUGAGAGUUAACAAUCUAAAAGCAAAUAUGUGCCCUAAAAGCAAUCGAUGAUCAGCAUAUGCUAGUAUAAAUAUACAAGAUUGUAACUUCUUAGCAUAUUAUAGAGCAGGAAAAGACAGUUAUGUUAAAAAUGAUAUAUAUACGUCUUAUGUUGCCUAUCAUGAUUUGUGCUAAUUAAAGACUUUAGAUCUUAGAAUUGAUUCUAUCAUUAUUUAAGUAAGCGAUCAUCAAAUAUCAUUGUUAAAUUAAUAAAUUGCUUAAAAUUUAACUGAGAGCAUUGCUUGCGUAAACCCAUUCAAAAAGAUGAUGUAAUAGAAUGACAUGAUUGAAACGGGAAUAAAUUCCAACCAAAAAAGCCCCUAAAUCCAGUUUCUCAAAGAGUUUGUAGAUUUAAAAAGAUAGGAUAAGUUUCUGCUUUGUGAACAUCGUGAACGUACACGUAGAGUUCACCAGAAAUAAUUAUUGCCAAGAACUAAUCUAUGAGAAUACAUGGAUGCAAUGGAGCAGAACCGAAAAUCUAAUGAACCAAGACUAAAUCUACGAAUCUAAUAAAGAGAAAGUACCAUCUCAGAUUUGUUACUUGAGGAGAACGGAAAAACUGGGGAGAUUUGGGUAAAUAGACA
rnacentral:lncRNA from 1 species